rnacentral:rRNA from 1 species
GUACGUAGGUGGCGAGCGUUGUCCGGAAUUACUGGGCGUAAAGGGCGCGUAGGCGGCCUGUCAAGUCAGAUGUGAAAUCCCCGGGCUUAACCCGGGAACUGCAUUUGAAACUGGCGGGCUUGAGGGCAGGAGAGGAAAGCGGAACUCCCAGUGUAGCGGUGAAAUGCGUAGAUAUUGGGAGGAACACCAGUGGCGAAGGCGGCUUUCUGGACUGUCACUGACGCUGAGGCGCGAAAGCUAGGGGAGCGAACGGGAUUAGAUACCCCGGUAGUCCUGGCUGUAAACGAUGGGUACUAGGUGUUGGGGGUAUCGACCCCUCCAGUGCCGCAGUUAACGCAAUAAGUGUUCCGCCUGGGGAGUACGGCCGCAAGGUUGAA